UACGCGGGGGGCGAGCGUUGUUCGGAAUUAUUGGGCGUAAAGGGCGCGUAGGCGGUUGGGUAAGUCUUGUGUGAAAUCUUCGGGCUCAACUCGAAGUCUGCACGAGAAACUAUCUGGCUUGAGUGUGGGAGAGGUGAGUGGAAUUCCUGGUGUAGCGGUGAAAUGCGUAGAUAUCAGGAGGAACACCUGUGGCGAAAGCGGCUCACUGGACCACAACUGACGCUGAGGCGCGAAAGCUAGGGGAGCAAACAGG
rnacentral:rRNA from 1 species